rnacentral:rRNA from 1 species
AUACAAAAUUCCACACGUGGAAAACUUUAUUCCCAUAUAAAAGAAGUUUACAACCCAUAGGGCAGUCAUCCUUCACGCUACUUGGCUGGUUCAGGCCUGCGCCCAUUGACCAAUAUUCCU